GAUGAAGAACGCAGCAAAAUGCGAUAAGUAAUGUGAAUUGCAGAAUUCAGUGAAUCAUCGAAUCUUUGAACGCACAUUGCGCCCGCUGGUAUUCCGGCGGGCAUGCCUGUUCGAGCGUCAUUUCAACCCUCAAGCCCCCGAGUUUGGUGUUGGGGAUCGGCUCUGCCCUUCUGGGCGGUGCCGCCCCCGAAAUACAUUGGCGGUCUCGCUGCAGCCUCCAUUGCGUAGUAGCUAACACCUCGCAACUGGAACGCGGCGCGGCCAUGCCGUAAAACCCCAACUUCUGAAUGUUGACCUCGGAUCAGGUAGGAAUACCCGCUGAACUUAAGCAUAUCAAUAAGCGGAGGA
rnacentral:misc_RNA from 1 species